AGUAGAGAGGAGACAUUGCUGGAACUGGCAGUAGAGGAGAAGAUUGGCGAUUAUUCGUUAUGGUAUUAGGCUGAAUUCGUUUCCCCUGGUCGUUGUCUUUGAAUUCGGAUAUUCUUCACUUUCCUGCUUGGAGUAAAAAAGAGAGGAAAGUCCUGUAUAGAUCAUUAGCGACAUCUACAAAGAUGGAUGAGGACCAAAGUCACAUGACCAAGAGGAUAUUAGAGCUUACCCUGGAGAUAAUCCACCUGCUGACCGGAGAGAACUAUGAAGUAGUGAAUAAAACCUCUGGAGAGCAGGCAACAACCAGCAUUCAUCCCCAUGGGUUAUGUCCCGUCACGGUGCCUCAACUCAACUCCUCAGAAAGACACAACAUGCAGAAGAUUCUAGAAGUCACCAAGAAGAUGAUGGAGCUGCUGACAGG